rnacentral:rRNA from 1 species
UACGAAGGGUGCUAGCGUUGUUCGGAAUCACUGGGCGUAAAGCGUUCGUAGGCGGUUUAGUAAGUCAAUUGUGAAAGCCCCAAGCUUAACUUGGGAACUGCAAUUGAUACUGCUUUUCUAGAAUAUGGUGGGGGAUAGUGGAAUUCCUAGUGUAGGGGUGAAAUCCGUAGAUAUUAGGAGGAAUACCGGUGGCGAAAGCGACUAUCUAUGCCAUUAUUGACGCUAAGGAACGAAAGCGUGGGGAGCAAACAGG